GCUAGUAUAGCUUAAUUAAAGUAUAACUCUGAAGUUGUUAAGAUGAACACGAAAAAGGUUCUACAAGCA
rnacentral:tRNA from 2 species